rnacentral:rRNA from 1 species
GUGGGGAAUAUUGGGCAAUGGGCGAAAGCCUGACCCAGCAACGCCGCGUGAAGGAAGAAGGUUUUCGGAUCGUAAACUUCUAUCCUUGGUGAAGAUAAUGACGGUAGCCGAGAAGGAAGCCCCGGCUAACUACGUGCCAGCAGCCGCGGUAAUACGUAGGGGGCAAGCGUUGUCCGGAAUGCUUGGGCGUAAAGGGCGCGUAGGCGGCCUGGUAAGUCUGGAGUGAAAGUCCUGCUUUUAAGGUGGGAAGUGCUUUGGAUACUGUCGGGCUUGAGUGCAGGAGAGGUAAGUUGAAUUCCCGGUGUAGCGGUGAGAUGCGUAGAGAUCGGGAGGAACACCAGUGGCGAAGGCGACUUACUGGACUGUAACUGACGCUGAGGCGCGAAAGUGUGGGGAGCAAACAGGAUUAGAUACCCGGGUAGUCC